AUAGUGGACGUUACUCGCAGAAUAAGCACCGGCUAACUCUGUGCCAGCAGCCGCGGUAAUACAGAGGGUGCAAGCGUUAAUCGGAAUUACUGGGCGUAAAGCGCGCGUAGGUGGUUCGUUAAGUUGGAUGUGAAAUCCCCGGGCUCAACCUGGGAACUGCAUUUGUGACUGUAUAGCUAGAGUACGGCAGAGGGGGAUGGAAUUCCGCGUGUAGCAGUGAAAUGCGUAGAUAUGCGGAGGAACACCGAUGGCGAAGGCAAUCCCCUGGGCCUGUACUGACGCUCAUGCACGAAAGCGUGGGGAGCAAACAGGAU
rnacentral:rRNA from 1 species